rnacentral:rRNA from 1 species
GGGCGNAAAUUUUGAUCCAGUCAAUACCACGUGAAUGAUGAAGGUCUUCGGAUUGUAAAAUUCUUUCAGCGGGAAAGCAUGAUGACUGUACCCGCAGAAGAAGCACCGGCUAACUUCGUGCCAGCAGCCGCGGUAAUACGAAGGGUGCUAGCGUUGCUCGGAAUUACUGGGCGUAAAGAGUACGUAGGCUGUCCUAUAAGUUGGAAGUGAAAUCCCGAGGCUCAACCUCGGAACUGCUUUCAAAACUGUAGGACUAGAGUGAAAUCGAGGGUAGUGGAAUUUCUAGUGUAGAGGUGGAAUUCGUAGAUACUAGAAGGAACACCAGAAGCGAAGGCGACUACCUAGGUUUAUACUGACGCUGAGGUACGAAAGUGUGGGGAGCAAACAGGAUUAGAGACCCUGGUAGUCCACACUGUAAACGAUGAAUGCUAAGUAUUGGAUUUUGCUAUUCAGUGCUGAAGCUAACGCGUUAAGCAUUCCGCCUGGGGAGUACGGUCGCAAGACUAAAACUCAAAGGAAUUGACGGG